UGCCCAACUCGGCCUCCCAAAGUGUUGGGAUUACAGGUGUGAGCCACCUCACCCAGCUUCGUUCCAUCUCUUAUACUUAAACAGUUGCCUCUUAUUUCCUGCCUCAGCCCUUUUGGGGUUUCUACAGCUGAUUCUACUAAUGGCUUCCAUCGACCAGUGCAGGCUUUUCUCAUUUCUUCACUCAUAUCUUGUAGAAUUUCCUUUCUGGGGUCUGUGGUCUUGUCAUUAUCAUAUUCUCAGAUACUGGAUUCUUAUGUUGGGUUCUUGUGUUUCUUUUAUGUACUUAUUUAUAUAUGCUUUCCUUGGUGGGCUCUGGUGCCUUUUAGGCUAACUAACUGAAAAACAAUGUAUCCACAAAAUUAAAAUGCACUUUUCCAGUCCAAUUGACCCAAACAGAAUUAUACCACCAAAUUAGUUUUACUAGUUUUCUGUUUUUUUCAGUGAUAUCCAGGGUCCUGUCUUAAGCCUUAGCUCUUGGUGGUUCACUUACCCCAUGUUACAGUUUUGUUACUGCAUUAUAAGUAUCCCCAAAUCUCAGUGGCUUAAAACAACAACCAUUUUAUUAUAUUUCAUGAGUUUCUGGGUUAGGAGAUUAGGUAGGGCUUGGCUGGGCAAUUCUUCUUCUCCACGUGGUCUUGACUUGGUAUUUAGCUGGCAGCUGAGCUAGCCUGGUGGGUCUAAGGUAGCAUGAUUUAGUUGCCAGGCACAUUGCCAGAGAUGGCUGCCUGGCUGAAUGGCUGGGCUGGGCCCCUUCCUUCUCCAUGUCAUCUAUAACCUUCCCACAUGAUAUCUUUAGAGGAGUAGAUAGAUUUCCUACAUGGCAGCUUGGGGCUCCAAGAAUAAAAGUCUUCUCAGAGUCAGGAAGUAAAAGCUACCAGUCUCUUAAGGCUAAGACCUGGAACUGAGACAUCAUUUGUGCUGCAUCCUAUCAGUUAAAGUAGUCAAAGAGCCUGCCCACAUUCAAGAGGAAAAAACAUAGGCCCCUCUCCGUAAAGGGAGGUAUCUCAAAUAAUUUGUGGCCAUCUUUAAUCCACCAUAUCCCAGCAAAGUUCUAUUCUUUGACAGCAGGCUUUUUAGGUAGCGUCACAUUUUCAGCAACUAUUGCUACUGCGUGCCUGUCUUCUGCAUAUUUCCUGGUUGCCUAGAUUACGAUGUCAUGAGGAACUGAUUAGGCCCUUUGCAACUGUGUCUUACAUGAGCCACUGUAGCUCAGUCCCAUCCCUUAGCUUGUUCCUCUCCUGCCCAAUCAGAAAGUUAUGUUUUACACCCAAGCCAGCUUCCGUUGUGACAUCACACAUAAAAUGUGCGUAAAAUGCUUACAUCAAUUGCAUUGGCUCCUAGAAUUCAGAAAUUGCAGUGACUUAAACAAGAGAGUCAUUUGUUUCUCUCUCACAUAAAAGGAAUUUGAAAGAACAGAGUCAAGAUCAGAUAAUAAAGCUCAGAGAGGAUAGCCACUUCCUCAAGGACACAGAUGUUGCAGAUGUUGUAAAGGGUGAACACUGUACCAUUUAAAGGCUGAGAGAUUAGAGAGAGAAGACCACUCGGAGUCAGAAUUACUAAUGUGCUUUCAGUCUCCUGCCACUUAGUAGAUGAAGCCACAGGUAUGGACCAAUGUUAGCCAAUCAUCCACCUGACAAUAGCAACUGAUUCAAGACGGGAGCUCAAGAACCAAGUAGGGCCUGAGGGCUUUACCUGAAGUGAAAUAUGAACAUCCAAUGGCAAAAAGAAAUACUCUCUCCACUGGAUUGUUAUGCCUGGGCCUGCAGCAACCAAGUUCUCUACCACAUGGAGAGAUAUGAGAUAUGGUUAGACAAAAUGAGAAGAGCACAGACAAGCAGAAACAAGAGCUGGGCAGGAUCCCUGUUCAGACUAACUUACAGUCUGAACGUACAUGCAAAGAUCUCUGAAAAGCAGUCUAUCCAAGUGGGCUUAAAACUUUAGUCAUGACAAAUUGUAUUUUCAGAGGCAGCACAGUGCAUUUCUUAAAGCUCUUGUUGUUCUUCUUUACUAUCAAAUAAAAAUUGGCUCCCUGUAACUUGUAUUUUGACCAGCUCUCCACUAUCAUGGAAUGAACAUAUUCUAUCUAUUGUAUGAGAGUCUU
rnacentral:lncRNA from 1 species